GAUGAACGCUGGCGGCGUGCCUAAUACAUGCAAGUCGAGCGAACAGAUGUGGAGCUUGCUCCUCUGACGUUAGCGGCGGACGGGUGAGUAACACGUGGAUAACCUACCUAUAAGACUGGGAUAACUUCGGGAAACCGGAGCUAAUACCGGAUAAUAUAUUGAACCGCAUGGUUCAAUAGUGAAAGACGGUUUUGCUGUCACUUAUAGAUGGAUCCGCGCCGCAUUAGCUAGUUGGUAAGGUAACGGCUUACCAAGGCAACGAUGCGUAGCCGACCUGAGAGGGAGAUGCGACACUCUGGAACAGACACGCGGCAGAGACCCAUGCGGGAGAGAGGAAUGGAAUCUUCCGCAAUGGGCGAAAGCCUGACGGAGCAACGCCGCGUGAGUGAUGAAGGUCUUCGGAUCGUAAAACUCUGUUAUUAGGGAAGAACAAAUGUGUAAGUAACUAUGCACGUCUUGACGGUACCUAAUCAGAAAGCCACGGCUAACUACGUG
rnacentral:rRNA from 1 species